rnacentral:rRNA from 1 species
GGGUUGUGAGGUUAAGCGACUAAGCGUACACGGUGGAUGCCUAGGCAGUCAGAGGCGAUGAAGGGCGUGCUAAUCUGCGAAAAGCGUCGGUAAGGUGAUAUGAACCGUAACAGCCGACGAUACCCGAAUGGGGAAACCCAGUGUGUUUCGACACAUUAUCAUCACAUGAAUACAUAGUGUGAUGAGGCGAACCGGGGGAACUGAAACAUCUCAGUACCCCGAGGAAAAGAAAUCAACCGAGAUUCCCCCAGUAGCGGCGAGCGAACGGGGAAAAGCCCAGAACCUGAAUCAGUUUGUGUAUUAGUGGAAGCGUCUGGAAAGUCGCACGACAGAGGGUGAUAGUCCCGUACACAAAAAUGCACAGAUUGUGAGUUCGAUGAGUAGGGCGGGACACGUGAUAUCCUGUCUGAAGAUGGGGGGACCAUCCUCCAAGGCUAAAUACUCCUGACUGACCGAUAGUGAACCAGUACCGUGAGGGAAAGGCGAAAAGAACCCCGGCGAGGGGAGUGAAAUAGAACCUGAAACCGUGUACGUACAAGCAGUGGGAGCCCCACCACCAAAACACUUCCGGGCCGAAAGGCGAUGCGGAUGUCGAGGUGACGGUUGUCAUCGCGUGUUUUGCGAUGACCAACACACAAAACAAGCAGUGAGUGUUUUGGGGUGGGGUGACUGCGUACCUUUUGUAUAAUGGGUCAGCGACUUAUAUUCUGUAGCAAGGUUAACCGAAUAGGGGAGCCGCAGGGAAACCGAGUCUUAACUGGGCGUUAAGUUGCAGAGUAUAGACCCGAAACCCGGUGAUCUAGCCAUGGGCAGGUUGAAGGUUGGGUAACACUAACUGGAGGACCGAACCGACUAAUGUUGAAAAAUUAGCGGAUGACCUGUGGCUGGGGGUGAAAGGCCAAUCAAACCGGGAGAUAGCUGGUUCUCCCCGAAAGCUAUUUAGGUAGCGCCUCGUGAACUCAUCUACGGGGGUAGAGCACUGUUUCGACUAGGGGGUCAUCCCGACUUACCAACUCGAUGCAAACUGCGAAUACCGUAGAAUGUUAUCACGGGAGACACACGGCGGGUGCUAACGUCCGUCGUGAAGAGGGAAACAACCCAGACCGCCAGCUAAGGUCCCAAAGUCAUGGUUAAGUGGGAAACGAUGUGGGAAGGCCCAGACAGCCAGGAUGUUGGCUUAGAAGCAGCCAUCAUUUAAAGAAAGCGUAAUAGCUCACUGGUCGAGUCGGCCUGCGCGGAAGAUGUAACGGGGCUAAACCAUGCACCGAAGCUGCGGCAGCGACGCUUAGGCGUUGUUGGGUAGGGGAGCGUUCUGUAAGCCUGCGAAGGUGGCCCGUGAGGGUUGCUGGAGGUAUCAGAAGUGCGAAUGCUGACAUAAGUAACGAUAAUGCGGGUGAAAAACCCGCACGCCGGAAGACCAAGGGUUCCUGUCCAACGUUAAUCGGGGCAGGGUGAGUCGACCCCUAAGGCGAGGCUGAAAAGCGUAGUCGAUGGGAAACAGGUUAAUAUUCCUGUACUGGGUGUUGCUGCGAAGGGGGGACGGAGAAAGCUAGGUUGGCCGGGCGACGGUUGUCCCGGUUUAAGCGUGUAGGUGGGUGUUUUUGGUAAAUCCGGAACACUGUCAACACUGAGGCGUGACGACGAGUCACUACGGUGACGAAGUAACCGAUGCUACGCUUCCAGGAAAAGCCUCUAAGCUCCAGGCAACACGCAAUCGUACCCCAAACCGACACAGGUGGUCAGGUAGAGAAUACUCAGGCGCUUGAGAGAACUCGGGUGAAGGAACUAGGCAAAAUGGUGCCGUAACUUCGGGAGAAGGCACGCUGGAUUUGGUGAAGUCCCUUGCGGAUGGAGCUGAGACCAGUCGCAGAUACCAGCUGGCUGCAACUGUUUAAUAAAAACACAGCACUGUGCAAACACGAAAGUGGACGUAUACGGUGUGACGCCUGCCCGGUGCCGGAAGGUUAAUUGAUGGGGUCAGCCUUUGGGCGAAGCUCUUGAUCGAAGCCCCGGUAAACGGCGGCCGUAACUAUAACGGUCCUAAGGUAGCGAAAUUCCUUGUCGGGUAAGUUCCGACCUGCACGAAUGGCGUAAUGAUGGCCAGGCUGUCUCCACCCGAGACUCAGUGAAAUUGAACUCGCUGUGAAGAUGCAGUGUACCCGCGGCAAGACGGAAAGACCCCGUGAACCUUUACUAUAGCUUGACACUGAACCUUGAGCCUUGAUGUGUAGGAUAGGUGGGAGGCUUUGAAGCGUGGACGCCAGUCUGCGUGGAGCCGACCUUGAAAUACCACCCUUUAAUGUUCGAUGUUCUAACGUGGGCCCCUGAGCGGGGUUGCGGACAGUGUCUGGUGGGUAGUUUGACUGGGGCGGUCUCCUCCCAAAGAGUAACGGAGGAGCACGAAGGUUAGCUAAUCCUGGUCGGACAUCAGGAGGUUAGUGCAAAGGCAUAAGCUAGCUUGACUGCGAGAGUGACGGCUCGAGCAGGUGCGAAAGCAGGUCUUAGUGAUCCGGUGGUUCUGAAUGGAAGGGCCAUCGCUCAACGGAUAAAAGGUACUCCGGGGAUAACAGGCUGAUACCGCCCAAGAGUUCAUAUCGACGGCGGUGUUUGGCACCUCGAUGUCGGCUCAUCACAUCCUGGGGCUGAAGUAGGUCCCAAGGGUAUGGCUGUUCGCCAUUUAAAGUGGUACGCGAGCUGGGUUUAGAACGUCGUGAGACAGUUCGGUCCCUAUCUGCCGUGGGCGUUGGAAGAUUGAGAGGGGUUGCUCCUAGUACGAGAGGACCGGAGUGAACGCACCACUGGUGUACGGGUUGUGAUGCCAAUUGCAUUGCCCGGUAGCUACGUGCGGAAGAGAUAACCGCUGAAAGCAUCUAAGCGGGAAACUUGCCUCGAGAUGAGUCUUCCCUGGGACUUUGAGUCCCCUGAAGGGCCGUUGAAGACGACGACGUAGAUAGGCUGGGUGUGUAAGCGUUGCGAGACGUUGAGCUAACCAGUACUAAUGACCCGAGAGGCUUAACCUUACAACACCGAAGGUGUUU